UGAGCAAUCUGCCCUUCUCUUCGGAAUAAGCGUGGGAAACCGCGUCUAAUGCCGAAUACGACCUCCUUUCGCAUGAUCGGAGGUGGAAAGCUCCGGCGGAGAAGGAUGAGCUCGCGGCCUAUCAGCUAGUUGGUGUGGGUAAUGGCCCACAAGGCGACGACGGGUAGCUGGUCUGAGAGGACGACCAGCCACACUGGAACUGAGAUACGGUCCAGACCUCCGUAGGGAGG
rnacentral:rRNA from 1 species